UGACACAUGUAAUGUACGUUUGUAAGUAAGUUUAAAAACGACGAAAGGCUUAUAAAAAUUGUAUUGAAGAGAAGAGAAAAGUUAUAAUGGUUUGACAAUAUAGAAUUCACAGUUCCCAAUGGAGGAAGAGAGAGAGGGAGAGGGGGCGGCAGAGGUGGGGGGAAGAAAGGGACGUGUGCAUGGGAGUGAUUAAGCGUCGCCUCAUUCACCCGUUGUUGUCAUUCCUUAAUUACCACUGCCAUUACUUUUUUUUUUUUCUUUUCUUUUUUUUUU
rnacentral:lncRNA from 1 species